GCUGCGGUGUCCGAGCGGUUAAGGAGAUGGACUUGAAAUCCAUUGGGUAGAUCGUUAACCCACACAGGUUCGAAUCCUGUCCGCAGCG